GAUGAACGCUGGCGGCGUGCCUAAUACAUGCAAGUCGAGCGAACGGACGAGAAGCUUGCUCCUCUGAUGUUAGCGGCGGACGGGUGAGUAACACGUGGAUAACCUACCUAUAAGACUGGGAUAACUUCGGGAAACCGGAGCUAAUACCGGAUAAUAUUUUGAACCGCAUGGUUCAAUAGUGAAAGACGGUUUUGCUGUCACUUAUAGAUGGAUCCGCGCUGCAUUAGCUAGUUGGUAAGGUAACGGCUUACCAAGGCAACGAUGCGUAGCCGACCUGAGAGGGUGAUCGGCCACACUGGAACUGAGACACGGUCCAGACUCCUACGGGAGGCAGCAGUAGGGAAUCUUCCGCAAUGGGCGAAAGCCUGACGGAGCAACGCCGCGUGAGUGAUGAAGGUCUUCGGAUCGUAAAACUCUGUUAUUAGGGAAGAACAUAUGUGUAAGUAACUGUGCACGUCUUGACGGUACCUAAUCAGAAAGCCACGGCUAACUACGUG
rnacentral:rRNA from 1 species